rnacentral:sRNA from 1 species
UAUAAGGUACAAAUGAGUGGUGCAGUAUUCUAGUCAGUCCACCUUUUCUGAAGGCGGGCCUAAAAAUCCGCUAAAGGGCACAUCGAUGAAGUUCCUUGUGUCGGCUUGAGGCGCCCAGCCUUGGGUUGAUGCUGGGAGUUAAGGUAGUAGGGCGAUCCACAAUGGCAUGUGGGCGAAGACCCUACUUCCGUGGAGGCCCAUUCUUACGCUUGUUAAUCCCCUAGGGGAGCAAGUAGUGGAAUGGUGAUAAACCUGUAUUAUAUCUAACUGGGUUAGGUAUAAACAGCGUAGCCUGCCUUGAGUGGAGUCGGAGGGGAUUAUGGUAGGGGAUUUUUUCACUAGGCCGGUGAAUCUAUCUAUGUAUUCCAUAUGAAAUCCGUUCUGCAAAAGAGGCUAAGACAAGGUUUAAGGGCUGUAGAGGAAAACUCCUAGACUGUUCUAUUUAUAAGACAUGUAUUGGGGAUUAUAGUGCGGACUAAGUGGUAAUCCAGUCUAGUCGAUGGCGACACGGCUAAGGCAGGUUUAAAGGGAAACCGCCAGUAUGGCGACAUCUGGUACUUGCUUGGGAAAACCUACUGGACCUAAGCCGCAGUUUUUACUCAAUACAUGACCACUUCUACAUAAAAACGA